CACGUAGGGGCCAAGCGUUGUCCGGAUUUAUUGGGCGUAAAGAGCGUGUAGGCGGUUCGGUAAGUCUGUCGUGAAAUCCUGAGGCUCAACCUCGGACGUGCGAUGGAUACUGCCGGGCUAGAGGAUGGUAGAGGCGAGUGGAAUUCCUGGUGUAGCGGUGAAAUGCGCAGAUAUCAGGAAGAACACCCGUGGCUAAGGCGGCUCUCUAGUACGGUACUGACGCUGAGACGCGAAAGCGUGGGGAGCGAACAGG
rnacentral:rRNA from 1 species